rnacentral:rRNA from 1 species
UCCCAGGCAUCUAGCGUCGUACACACAAUGGUUGGCCGUACAAUCAGGAUUCAUAAUGGAAAGGAAUAUAUACCUAUUUACAUAACAAAUCCUAUGGUAGGUCGCAAAUUGGGGGAGUUCGUGCCUACUCGGCAUUUCACGAGUAAUGAAAAUGCAAAAAAGGAUACUAAAUCUCGUCGUAAACUGAAUUCUGAAUAG